rnacentral:rRNA from 1 species
UACGUAGGGUCCGAGCGUUGUCCGGAAUUACUGGGCGUAAAGAGCUCGUAGGUGGUUUGUCGCGUUGUUCGUGAAAACUCACAGCUCAACUGUGGGCGUGCGGGCGAUACGGGCAGACUAGAGUGAUGUAGGGGAGACUGGAAUUCCUGGUGUAGCGGUGAAAUGCGCAGAUAUCAGGAGGAACACCGGUGGCGAAGGCGGCAUCCUGGACCGGUAUUGACGCUGAUGCGCGAAAGCCAGGGGAGCAAACGGG